rnacentral:misc_RNA from 1 species
UCAGCGGGUAAUCUUGACUGAUCUGAGGUGCAAAAGUUUAAUAAUAUUUCGGAAAAUGUUUUCAUUCUGGGAUGCUUGGCACCUGAAUUAGACAUUUUCUAUCUUCUUGCUAUCAUUCAGUGUAGUAGAAUUAAAUUUCACAAUCUAACAACUUACAUACACCAUAUCACAAUAUACACAUUGUAUGGAUGAUCACACACUCAGACAGACAUGCCGAUCACUCGGCGCAAGUUGCGUUCAAAAAUUAGAUGACUCACAGGUUCAUGCAGAUCACAUUACGUAUCGCAUUUUGCUGCGUUCUUCAUCGAUGCAAGAGCCA